GAGGAAGGCAGUGGAUGCCACUGGGACAUUCCAGAUGAAGUGAGCAUUGCAUCCAGCAGGGAUGGAUCCAAGACGGUCUCCUGGGGCAUCAGGACACAUGCGAGUCAGCCUCAAAGGGGCUGCUGCAACAAAGCACCACAAACUGGGUGGCAGAAAACAACCAAGAUGCACUGUCUCACAGCUGUGGAGGCCAGAAGUCUGAAACCAAGAGUAGGAGCUACAGCCUGGAGCGGCUGGCCAGCUCACGCUGCUUGCCAGCCUCCCUGCAGGAGUGCACAGCCACGUGACUGAGUUUGAGAAACUUGUGUGCGUGAUGUGUGCCACGUCCCUGCCAGUGUCAUUGGCAAACUGGGCCUCCUCUACAUUCUCUUUCCAAUUUCCACAAACUGGAGCACAGAGGAACCUGCAGCCUGGCUUCAGCCAAGGGCAAAGCCGAAGGGAUGGCAAAGAAAUGAGAUGAAGAGAACCUGGGCCUCUGAGCACGGCCAAGCCACCCACCAGCCAGGAAAGCUCUCUUCAGACUGUGUCUUAGGUCAGCUCACUUGGAACAGACGGUCCCGGAGGCGUACUAGGCUACACCACUCAGGAACGGCAGCAGCCAGGUGCAAGAGCAGAAGUUGAAUUGCAGUGAAGUUGGACGAGGGUCCUCAGCUGGUCCAGCGGGGAGCUCUGGAUCUAGGAUGGCCCUUCAGAGUUGUCCCAGAUGGAGACAAAGGGGUGGGACCUUCGUUCUCCAUAUCUACCAGUCUUUUGGGGAUGCAGGCUGCCUGCGCAAGGGCCAUAACUUGGGUGAGGCAGCUCCUUUCGCCAAGGGCAAUUCUCAGAGAUGGACUCAGCUAUGAGCCCUCAACAACUCCCCACCCCAGCCCCCCAGCACUGGGGAGGUGGUACCUCAGUCUUAAAGGCGGGAUCUGGGUGCUGCCCUACAAUAUCCACUGCAGAUUGUCACUAAGGGAGAAACUUCUAUGUUCUUUAAGCCAUGGCUUUAUUGUUGGGUCUCUAUUACAGCAGUCUCUCCUCACCCCCAUCUAAUAAAGCUCUCUGCUUGUUUACAAGUGCACAUCCUGCCCUCAGCCAGAGAGGAACUCCCUGAGACACACACUAGGUCAGUGGUU